AACGAACGCUGGCGGCAGGCUUAACACAUGCAAGUCGAGCGCAUCCUUCGGGGUUAUCGGCGGACGGGUGAGUAACGCGUGGGAACGUGCCCUCUUCUACGGAAUAGCCUCGGGAAACUGAGAGUAAUGCCGUAUACGCCCGCAAGGGGAAAGAUUUAUCGGAGGAGGAUCGGCCCGCGUUGGAUUAGGUAGUUGGUGGGGUAAUGGCCUACCAAGCCGACGAUCAAUAGCUGGUUUGAGAGGAUGAUCAGCCACACUGGGACUGAGACACGGCCCAGACUCCUACGGGAGGCAGCAGUGGGGAAUCUUGGACAAUGGGGGCAACCCUGAUCCAGCCAUGCCGCGUGAUCGAUGAAGGCCUUAGGGUUGUAAAGAUCUUUCAGCUGGGAAGAUAAUGACGGUACCAGCAGAAGAAGCCCCGGCUAACUCCGUG
rnacentral:rRNA from 1 species